rnacentral:rRNA from 1 species
UGGGGAAUAUUGGACAAUGGACCAAGAGUCUGAUCCAGCAAUUCUGUGUGCACGAUGAAGUUUUUCGGAAUGUAAAGUGCUUUCAGUUGGGAAGAAAAAAAUGACGGUACCAACAGAAGAAUUGCCGGCUAAAUACGUGCCAGCAGCCGCGGUAAUACGUAUGUCACAACCGUUAUCCGGAUUUAUUGGGCGUAAAGCGCGUCUAGGUGGUUAUGUAAGUCUGAUGUGAAAAUGCAGGGCUCAACUCUGUAUUGCGUUGGAAACUGUAUAACUAGAGUACUGGAGAGGUAAGCGGAACUACAAGUGUAGAGGUGAAAUUCGUAGAUAUUUGUAGGAAUGCCGAUGGGGAAGCCAGCUUACUGGACAGAUACUGACGCUGAAGCGCGAAAGCGUGGGUAGCAAACAGG